rnacentral:rRNA from 1 species
GUCGAAUGACUUGGAAAAGUCAGUCAAAGAGGGUAAAAACCCCGUAGACGAAAUGUGGAAGACACCUAGGAGGAUCCUGAGUACGGCGGAACACGAGAAAUUCCGUCGGAAUCCGGGAGGACCAUCUCCCAAGGCUAAAUACUCCCUAGUGACCGAUAGUGAACCAGUACCGUGAGGGAAAGGUGAAAAGCACCCCGGAAGGGGAGUGAAAUAGAACCUGAAACCGUGUGCCUACAACAAGUCAAAGCCCGUUAAUGGGUGAUGGCGUGCCUUUUGUAGAAUGAACCGGCGAGUUACGAUUGCAUGCGAGGUUAAGUUGAAGAGACGGAGCCGCAGCGAAAGCGAGUCUGAAUAGGGCGUUUGAGUAUGUAGUCGUAGACCCGAAACCAUGUGAUCUACCCAUGUCCAGGUUGAAGGUGCGGUAAAACGCACUGGAGGACCGAACCCACGUACGUUGAAAAGUGCGGGGAUGAGGUGUGGGUAGCGGAGAAAUUCCAAACGAACUUGGAGAUAGCUGGUUCUCUCCGAAAUAGCUUUAGGGCUAGCCUCGGAAUUGAGAAUGAUGGAGGUAGAGCACUGUUUGGACUAGGGGCCCAUCUCGGGUUACCGAAUUCAGAUAAACUCCGAAUGCCAUUCAUUCAUAUCCGGGAGUCAGACUGUGAGUGAUAAGAUCCAUAGUCGAAAGGGAAACAGCCCAGACCACCAGCUAAGGUCCCAAAAUAUAUGUUAAGUGGAAAAGGAUGUGGGGUUGCACAGACAACUAGGAUGUUGGCUUAGAAGCAGCCACCAUUUAAAGAGUGCGUAAUAGCUCACUAGUCGAGUGACCCUGCGCCGAAAAUGUACCGGGGCUAAACAUAUUACCGAAGCUGUGGAGUACACCUUUAGGUGUAUUGGUAGGAGAGCGUUCUAAGGGCGUUGAAGGCAGAUCGUGAGGACUGCUGGAGCGCUUAGAAGUGAGAAUGCCGGUAUGAGUAGCGAAAGACAGGUGAGAAUCCUGUCCACCGAAUGACUAAGGUUUCCUGGGGAAGGCUCGUCCGCCCAGGGUUAGUCGGGACCUAAGCCGAGGCCGACAGGCGUAGGCGAUGGAUAACAGGUUGAUAUUCCUGUACCCGUUGUUUUUGUUUGAGCAAUGGAGGGACGCAGGAGGCUAAGGAAUGCAGACGAU